rnacentral:rRNA from 1 species
AUUGAACGCUGGCGGCAGGCCUAACACAUGCAAGUCGAACGGAGGAAGGGAGAUUGCUCCUGCAUUCAGCGGCGGACGGGUGAGUAAUCCCUAGGAAUCUGCCUGGUAGUGGGGGAUAACGUCCGGAAAGGGGCGCUAAUACCACAUACGUCAUGAGAGCGAAAGAGGGGAUACAUCGGAACUCACGCUAUCAGAUGAUCCUAGGUCGGAUGAGCUAGUUGGUGGGGUAAUGGCCUAUCAGGGCGAUGAUCGGUAACUGGUCUGAGAGGCUGAUCAGCCAUAGCGGAACUGAGAGACGGUCCAGACUCCUACGGGAGGCAGCAGUGGGGAAUCUUGGACGAGGGGCGGAAGCCUGAUCCAGCGAUGCCGCGGGGAUGAAGAAGGUCUCCGGAUUGUAAAGCUCAUUAAGUUGGGAGGAAGUGAAGUACGUUUAUAUCUGGCUGUUUUGACGGUACCAACAGAAUAAGCACCGGCUAACUUCGUG